CGCUCCGCGCCGCUCUCGUAGCCCUGGGAGCCCAGGUUCCUUGGGACUGCGACGCGACGCCGAGCCGGGACUGCCCGGUGCGGGAGGAGCAGAGGGAAGAAGCGAGAGAGGAGGGGGCGGCUGCUGGUGGGAACGCGCGUUCUUUCCGGGAAGCGGAGUGGGACUGCCUCGUUCCCCUCGAUUUGCACCGUCACCCGGGCUGUUUGGAAAGAAAAGGGAGGCGCUGAGCGUGCCGCGGUGUCUCCGGCCGCGUGUGCACAGUGUGUGUGUGCCUGCGUGUUUGUGUGUCUGCGCCGCUGUCUCAGUGCUCAGGGCUUUGGUAGCGCCCAGAGAGAGUUCGAGGGUCACCUCCAGAAACUCGCAGAAACUGGAAGAGGAUGAGGGGAGGACACACCUCCUUCCUCCGAAGGACUUGGAAGACUUUGCAUCUCCCCUCCCCCACUUUUCCGCCCGGCUCUUCUUUUGUUGUCAAGUCCUUUUGAUAAAUGGUGGGGCUGGGAGCGCUGGGAGCCUGGAGUCCGCCUGUGCCGCGCAGGGCGGGGGCCGAGGCUGGAGGCCGGGUUUCGACCGGCGCGCACCCGAAGCGGACCCGGGUACGCGCGGGGUCCGAUUGGUACCUGCUCUCGCGAGCUCACCCCUUCCCCUUGGGCCACCCUAUUACCUUUACCCUUCUGUUUCCCACUCCUCCACGGUACCGAGAACUUUCUGGGAAUCGACGGGAUUUCUCUGGCUGUCCUUUGCAUUGAAUUUAUCCGAAUAAAUCCAACUCUCAGGCAUCUAGCAGAACCGAUUCUCUACUGGCAAGUACUGUGUGCUACACCCAGCCUAGAUGGGGGGCACGGGGUGGCUGCUGGCGCACAGGCUCAGCGGGUCUGACCUCUGAGGUCGGAUGCACCACAGCUCCCAAGGCUUCUCAGUGCUCAGCGGUAUCUUGUCGACCCCACUUUGCCUAGUGCCUCGGAACUUGCCUGGCUGAGUCUGCCAGCAGCGAAAACUGAAAGAAAACUCUACUGAAGACAGCACAAACUUCCUCGAUACAAGUUUACAACCAAGAUUAGUGAUUGCUUCAGGAGGACGGUAGGCUCCAGUAUGCGGUUUGGGUUGGGAUGGGGUCGAAGAGAAUACCAGGUUGCUGAGCCUGGCCCGAGGUGAAAACGCUAGGGAAGCCUUCCAAUCUGAUGCUAUUUCUUGGCAACUCUUCAGCUCUGGAUGGUAAAAAAGGAAAGAAAGAAGAGUAAGUUUCCAAAUGCCACGGAUGCCCAGCGUGAAUCGCACUAGGGAGCAACGGGAGGGGGCCGGACUUGUAAAAGUUGCUGAAAGGUUUGUUCAGAAGCGUCACCCUAAUGGAAACCGAGGACCAGUUCGCUUCCCUUGGUACAGAAUGGUCAGGAACCAGCCUGGGUUCCACCCUGCCCACUUCUAUACCAUCAUCUUCAACAAGAGGUUAAAUAACCACCCACCACUGAAGCUGUAAACUUCUGCACUGCCAUCCGAAGACGAGGCCUUGAUACCGAGGGGCGAGAAAGACCACUCAUCCACCAGCUCGGUCCCAGCUCUAGGAGCGGUUGGCAUGCGGAUGGCGGAAUGAUCGCGGUCUCCACUUGGCUGUUCCGGGCGCUCAGAGCUAAUCCCCCAGCUCUGGGCAGCCAGCGCUUUUUCCCCGGAGCUGCAGAUUUAGGGAGCCCGCCGAGGGGCGCAAAAUACCCGCGCGGACUGGCGCGGGGGGCGGCCGCUCGUCUCGCCGCGGGGCCUGUCGCCGGGCUGGCCGCGGCGGGUGAGUGAUGAGGGCAGAGAAGGGCGCCCAUAAAUCGUGGGUGUCAGGGCGAAAAACUCUCUUUAUUGUCUGUGUGAUGGAUGGGCCCGGGGACGAGACACCAAAUACUUCGUAUCGCCUUUAAAUGGGAACACAUUUUCCGCGGCCAUAAUUCAUGUUUUUUAAAUAGAAAGUUUGAAAUGUUGC